rnacentral:rRNA from 1 species
CACGUAGUUAGCCGGGGCUUCUUAGUCAGGUACCGUCAUUUUCUUCCCUGCUGAUAGAAGUUUACAUACCGAAAUACUUCUUCCUUCACGCGGCGUCGCUGCAUCAGGGUUCCCCCCCAUUGUGCAAUAUUCCCCACUGCUGCCUCCCGUAGGAGUUUGGGCCGUGUCUCAGUCCCAAUGUGGCCGUUCACCCUCUCAGGUCGGCUACUGAUCGUUGCCUUGGUGAGCCCCUUACCUCACCAACUAGCUAAUCAGACGCGGGUCCAUCUCAUACCACCAGAGUUUUUCACACUGUACCAUGCAGUACUGUGCGCUUAUGCGGUAUUAGCAGCCAUUUCUAACUGUUAUCCCCCUGUAUGAGGCAGGUUACCCACGCGUUACUCACCCGUCCGCCACUCAGUCAUAAAAAUCUUCCUACCGUAGUAUUCUGUCUCUUAUGCUUCGUUCGACUUGCAUGUGUUAAGCACGCCGCCAGCGUUCAUCCUGACGCCAGGA